rnacentral:rRNA from 1 species
AGCUCCAAUAGCGUAUAUUAAAGUUGUUGCGGUUAAAAAGCUCGUAGUUGGAUUUCUGUUGAGGGCAGCCGGUCCGCACUUGGUGCGUGUAUCUGGUUUGACCUCGGCAUCCUCUCAAAAUACGUUGCUGCGCUUGAUUGCGUGGCGCGGAGUUUGAGACUUUUACUUUGAGGAAAUUAGAGUGUUCACGGCAGGCAAUCGCCUUGAAUAUAUUAGCAUGGAAUAAUAAAAUAAGAUCUUUGUUCUAUUUUGUUGGUUUCUAGAGCUUAGAUAAUGAUUAAUAGGGACAAUUGGGGGCAUUCGUAUUAACGCGUCAGAGGUGAAAUUCUUGGAUUGCGUUACGACGAACUACUGCGAAAGCAUUUGCCAAGGAUGUUUUCA